rnacentral:lncRNA from 1 species
AGAUAGGAUUGAUCACAAGGCAAGAGGAAGUGAUAACUAUUUGAAGAAAAGGAAGCCUGUUAAAAUGCUGAUUGAAUACCCUGUAUGGAAGAGAACAUGGAAUAGAAGCAAACAGAUUGACUAGAAUGGGCCUGUUCUUCCUGAGAUGGCACUACCAAUAAGUUUAGCAAGUGCACUGAGUGCCAAGUAAACAUCACAUACAACAACAUUGUUUUUAUCAUCAAAAUGCAUCAAAUACCAAAUUCAACAAGUUCUGAAACCAGAGCCCAAUGAUUAAUGAAGGAUGUCACAUGUAUCAUCAGGAAACAAAGGAG